rnacentral:tRNA from 1 species
GUCGAGUUACCAGAGUGGUUAAUGGGUAUGACUCGAAAUCAUAUGGCUUCGGCCGCGCAGGUUCAAAUCCUGCACUCGACG